UACCUUUACUCUAGCCAAAAUAUUUUAUCUUAUUAGGUAUCGUUUGGUUCAAGAAUAAGCAAAAAGUGACUAUUCCAGAGAUAGGUAUAAAUUAAGGUAUAAGCGGGGAUUAAAUCAAUUUUGCGUUUGGAUGAAAAUUGGGUUAUUCUUGGGAAUAAAAAACUUAACGUUUGGUUAGGUAAGAGGGAAUAAGAAUGAUAAUGAGUUUUAUAAAUAAAAAGUAAUAAUAUUAUCCUUUUAUUAUAUUUGAAUUUGAAUUUUUAAAUUUUUAAAUUUGAAAUUUUAACUUUGAAAUUUUAAAAUUUAAAUUUAAAAUCUCAAAUUUUAAAUUUUAAAUUUUAAAUUUUAAAUUUUAAACUUUAAAUUUAAGAUAAAUUUAAAUUUGAAAAAUAUAAAAUAUAAAAUUUNAUAUAUUAUAUUUAUAUAAUUUAGUUUUAAUUCAAUUUAUAAUUUUAAUUAAGUUUGAAAUUAAGCAUUGGAAUAGCACUAUUCCACCAAAAUGGUGGAAUAGCAAAUCCCUUGCUAUUCCGGGAUAACCGAGAAUAGCAAGGUUUGACCGGGAUAAAAUAUCCCGGCCAAAUUUUACCCCGUUUGGCGGAAUAGCAGGAAUAACUUUCGUUAUCCCCACUUAUCCCCCGAACCAAACGGGGCCUUAGUGUGUAAUUGUGAGACGCAGCAUGUUUGGUUCAUGAUUGUAAUGAGAAUGAAAAUGUAAUUAGCUUAUUUUAGAAUGAAAUAGAAUGACGCAUCAUCAAAAAAAUAUUUGAUCGUUAUUGAAAUAAAAAUUAGAAUGGACAAUUAAGACAUCUAAAAUUUUAAAAGAAAAUUUUGGUGCAGGAUAAGGAAAACAAUAAAGGGAGACGAGAGGUGUCUGUGAGAUAGAAUUUUGAAUGAUUUAUUCUGAAAUGGUUCAAUCCAGAACUUAAAAUCGGGUUGAACCAUAAAUAAAUUAGAUCAUGUCAGAUCGUUAGCGCUAACCAUUAAUCUCAAAAGCUCGAGCUGUUAGAAAUACGUAACCAAUUCAUUUAAAGCGUACAGAUACAGCGCCCACGGGUAUCGAUUGUGACUCGGCCCAACCAGUCUCACGUCACUUCGAACAUGACUCGGCCCAACCCAGCCUCACGCCAUUUCGAACGUGACUCGGCCCACUUGGUCUCCUGCCACAGGGUAGGAUACUGGUCAUUUAAGCCAACAGAUCAUUCUCAUUCCAAAGUGGAAUGAGAAUUAGAAUUCGAUUCCUGUAAAAUGAACAACAACUAUUGAAAUCAAUAAAUCUCAUUUCAAUUUUAGAAUUUAAAAUAGCUGAAUCAAACAAGUUGAAUCGUUUUUGCAUAAAAAAAAAAAAAAAAAAAAAAAAAAAUGGAACUGAGAAAAAAUAAAAAAAGAAAAGGAAAGAAUAAAUUUUAGGUUUGCAUAUGAUUUGUGAGAUACCUUUACAGCAAAUAAAUGAUUUUACGGCCCAUCAAACCUUGAGCCGAUCUCAUAAGCCCAUAGGCCUCAUAUUUGUUUCAACUCUACUUAUGCCUGGCUCAAUUUUAAAUACUAUUUAACUUGACUAUAAUUAAUUGACCAUCUCUAGAGCAAGUGACAAAGGGCUUGGUGGUUGAUACUCGAGACUCAAGUUCGAAUCCUAGUUGAUUCAUAUUUCUAGCUAAGUUUAUUUUUAAAUGAAAUAAACGAAGCCCGUAGCGUGCUAUCUAUCUCUCUCUCAAAAAAAAAAAAAAAAGAUACAAUGCCCACUUUUACCUAUUACAAUGAUCUCCCCA
rnacentral:lncRNA from 1 species